rfam:Myotis lucifugus cont2.33463, whole genome shotgun sequence.
CGCAGUUCUCGGGUGAUGCACCCCAGAAUCAGGCUCUCUCUCUCUUCUCUGGUUCCAGUGCGUCACCCGAGAACCACA